ensembl:lncRNA
GGAAAAAGGGCAAGAAAAUAAACAAGGACAGGAAGGGUUUAAAAGAAUAAAACAGGAAAUUAUUCUUUUCAGUGUCUUAGAGUCGUCACAGACUCAGACUGUACAAAGUCACAUUGUUUGGGCUUCCAUUCCCACUUGUCGUACAUGAUAUGGUUUAUAUCACAUGGUUUGACUUUUGCCACCAAAUCUGUUAAGUGCAGAAUCUUGUGUUGCGUCCUCAUCUACACAGUCGGCGUCACUUCAAAUGUUUCAAACACAAAACAGAGGGAUCAUAUGCAAAUGAAGAGAGCCUUCAAAAGCCAACGUCAGAGUAGCAUGUGACAAGCAGCGGGAGCCUUCAAGAUGGAUGGACGAAAAGGAAAGGAAGGAAAUUCUGACAUCUCCAUGUGGAGGCACGUGCACUCCCUGAUCACGGCAGUGCCUUGUGGCGAUCCUCGGAUGCAUCUCAGUGUGCACAAAUGAAUGUGCGAGCACGCCGUGUUCCUCUGGAGGCAGGAUACGUUUUCCACAUCCCUCUCUGCCUAUAAUUGGCCGUCGUGAUAAAACACCGGUUUUCUGGCGCUUGCAGGAUCAAACAGUGAUGAGCAGCUCUCUUCUCAGCACACUGCAGACACCAGAUGGCUGUCCUCAAGUCGAAGCCCGGGCUAUAUGCAGUACUCAUUUGAAGGGCAAUUCAUCCGAGAAAGCCAAUUUUGAUAUUGUAUGCCACUUGUAAUCACAAUUAGAUAUAGUUCUCGUGGUUUGAUGAAGGCUUUGAUUUGUGAUUUAAUAGGGAAUUUUAAAUGUUUAGCAGCUUUUGGCAUUGACUCUUAUUUUGCAUUUUGGUCUAGUGAGUUAUCAAGGUGCCCUCCGCAAACUGAUAGAAGCUGACUAUUACAGUGUAUCUCAGUACACAAACAAAAUCCUGUGCCGAAUGCAAGCAGAAUUUUCUUUUAAUAAAGAUUUUUGAGGUGGCAGAAGGAUCCCUUAUAACUUCCCAAUAUUAGACUUUGUGAUAUUUUUAUUAAGAAUACAAGGUUCAUGGGUAUUGUUUAGGUUACAGGGCUCAACUAGAGCUGUACUCAUUCAAUUAGGUUGUAUGUACAAUUUGUCUGUUACUGACUGAGAAUUGUCCCCAGCUCCCCCUUCUUUGUAUCGUAAUAGGAAGCAGAACCAUUAACCUGUAUAUCUGACAUGGGUUUUGAUAUUUUUGCAGGGACGAUGUGAUUUUCGAUUGGUUUCAAGAAAUGUGGUGCAGAGCUUCAUGUGUCCCUCCGGAUACAUUGUGUUGGUUUUGUUUCAUUUGGUGCCAUGAUCAGUUGAAAAUUAAAACUGUGUGCUGCACUUGGGUGACGGAUAAAUAAAACUAAUGGGACAGGUAGCGGUCUGCAGCCCGCUUGGUUGGUGACCACUGUUCUAGUGCAUUCGACUAUUAUUCAGCAAGGUCCAGAUAGAGAAUUUACUCAUACAAAAGAUCCGGAACAUUGCUGUAAUGGCCAACUUGUGCUACGCUUUAGUGCCAUACAUAUUGAAGUUGUAUUAACAUCUGUAUUAAUCAAAUAAAGAAAGUUCAAUUGAUAAAUACCUCACCUGUCAGUUUUCCAAUUGAACAGGAUGGUCUAUGAAUAAAACAGGCCUCACAAAUGAGUAAAUGUUCAGUUACAAUGAAAGAUGGAUUUAAAAAAUAAAUACAAAUGAAACUGCUCUUCACCUAUAAAUUCAGUAAGUUAAGGUGUGAAGGGAAGUUACACAAAAAAGCCACAAUAUCAUAUUCUCCUCAUAUUGUUAUACGAUCAAUUUGUGUGCAGGGACUUUAUCUGUGGCUUUUGAAGUCGCUUCUUUCUGACUUUUAUUUAUCAGACAAUUAUUUAACUUUUCCCCAAAUAACUGUUUAACUUUCAAACUAUUACAGUGACGUGAAAUGACUUCACUCCAGUGUGUUCCCCAACUUUUCCUUCAAACUGUCAGUGGCAACAGACACAAUGGCCGACUACCUAUGGCUGAAAGCUGCUGUGCAUUU